rnacentral:rRNA from 1 species
AUUGAACGCUGGCGGCAUGCUUUACACAUGCAAGUCGAACGGCAGCGCGGGCUUCGGCCUGGCGGCGAGUGGCGAACGGGUGAGUAAUACAUCGGAACGUGCCCAGUAGUGGGGGAUAGCUCGGCGAAAGCCGGAUUAAUACCGCAUACGACCUGAGGGUGAAAGCGGGGGAUCUUCGGACCUCGCGCUAUUGGAGUGGCCGAUGGCAGAUUAGCUAGUUGGUGGGGUAUAGGCCUACCAAGGCGACGAUCUGUAGCUGGUCUGAGAGGACGACCAGCCACACUGGGACUGAGACACGGCCCAGACUCCUACGGGAGGCAGCAGUGGGGAAUUUUGGACAAUGGGCGAAAGCCUGAUCCAGCAAUGCCGCGUGUGUGAUGAAGGCCUUCGGGUUGUAAAGCACUUUUGGCGGGAACGAAAAGGACUGUGCCAAUACCACGGUUCGAUGACGGUACCCGCAGAAUAAGCACCGGCUAACUACGUG